rnacentral:rRNA from 1 species
UAGCGGCAGGCCUAAUACAUGCAAGUCGAGGGGUAACAGGAGAGCUUGCUCUUGCUGACGACCGGCGUACGGGUGCGUUACGCGUAUGCAACCUACCUACAACAGAGGGAUAGCCCGUGGAAACAUGGAUUAAUACCUCAUGGCACUAACUAUAGGCAUCUUGUGUUAGUUAAAGAAUUUCGGUUGUAGAUGGGCAUGCGUGACAUUAGCUAGCUGGUGUGGUAACGGCACACCAAGGCAUCGAUGUCUAGGGGACCUGAGAGGGUGAUCCCCCACACUGGUACUGAGACACGGACCAGACUCCUACGGGAGGCAGCAGUAGGGAAUAUUGGUCAAUGGAGGCAACUCUGAACCAGCCAUGCCGCGUGUAGGAGGACGGCCUUCUGGGUUGUAAACUACUUUUAUAUGGGAAGACCUANCCUUGCGAGGUGAAAAGACGGUACCAUAAGAAUAAGCACCGGCUAACUCCGUGCCAGCAGCCGCGGUAAU